UACUAAGGGCCUGAUCCCAAGUCCAUUAAAGUCAAUGUGAGUCUUUCCAUUGACCUCAGUGGGCUUUGGAGCAGGUCCUAAUAUA
rnacentral:pre_miRNA from 1 species